GACGAACGCUGGCGGCGUGCCUAAUACAUGCAAGUAGAACGCUGAAGGAGGAGCUUGCUUCUCUGGAUGAGUUGCGAACGGGUGAGUAACGCGUAGGUAACCUGCCUGGUAGCGGGGGAUAACUAUUGGAAACGAUAGCUAAUACCGCAUAAUAGUAGAUGUUGCAUGACAUUUGCUUAAAAGGUGCAAUUGCAUCACUACCAGAUGGACCUGCGUUGUAUUAGCUAGUUGGUGGGGUAACGGCUCACCAAGGCGACGAUACAUAGCCGACCUGAGAGGAUGAUCGGCCACACUGGAACUGAGACACGGCCCAGACUCCUACGGAGGGAGCAAUAGGGGAUCUUUGGCAAAGGACGGAAGGCUGGACGAGGAAAGCCGCGUGGGGGAAGAAAGUUCUCGGGUCGGAAAGCUCUGUUGUGAGGGAAGAAAGAGUGUGAGGGUGGAAAGUUCACACUGUGACGGUAUCAUAACAGAAAGGGACGGCUAACUACGUG
rnacentral:rRNA from 1 species